rnacentral:rRNA from 1 species
GAGUUUGAUCCUGGCUCAGAUUGAACGCUGGCGGCAGGCCUAACACAUGCAAGUCGAGCGGUAACAGAGAGAAGCUUGCUUCUUUGCCGACGAGCGGCGGACGGGUGAGUAACGCGUAGGAAUCUACCUAUUAGUGGGGGAUAAGCCAGAGAAAUUUGGUCUAAUACCGCAUACGCCCUACGGGGGAAAGGAGGGGAUCUUCGGACCUUUCGCUAUUAGAUGAGCCUGCGUAAGAUUAGCUAGUUGGUGAGGUAAUGGCUCACCAAGGCGACGAUCUUUAGCUGGUCUGAGAGGAUGAUCAGCCACACUGGGACUGAGACACGGCCCAGACUCCUACGGGAGGCAGCAGUGGGGAAUAUUGGACAAUGGGGGGAACCCUGAUCCAGCCAUGCCGCGUGUGUGAAGAAGGCCUUCGGGUUGUAAAGCACUUUCAGAUGUGAGGAAAGGUGAGUAGUUAAUACCUGCUUACUGUGACGUUAGCAUCAGAAGAAGGACCGGCUAACUCCGUGCCAGCAGCCGCGGUAAUACGGAGGGUCCGAGCGUUAAUCGGAAUUGCUGGGCGUAAAGCGCGC